AAAAUUAUUAAUAAUUCCAACCUAGAAGGGUUUUGUGAGGGGUACACUUGUUAAUACCUAUUAGGCAAUUAGAAGAGGGUCUGGCAUGUAUGAGCUACUAAGUGAAGGAAGGUGGGAAAUGUUUCUACAUAUUUAUUAGUCAGGAGGCAGUUGGGAAAAGGAACCACAUUCGUUGAUUUAGAUUUGAUUGAUUGAUUGAGAUGGGGGAGGGUCAGAAGGAGAGAGCAAAUCUCAAGGAGACUCCUCGGUGAGCACAGGGCCCAACUUGGGGUUCGAUCUCACGACCUGCCCGAGUUGGACGCUUAACCGAGCCUCCCAGGGGCCCCAAUGUUUGUUCCUUUAACAAAGAGCUGAGUACAGAGAAUUGUGAAAUGGGUAUCGCAGGACAAAAAUGGGGUAAAGCAGACCAUGCGGAGGGUGGGGGGGAGAGAGGAAGAGGGGAACGGCAGGAAGCAGUGGCCCCACCUCCCCUGGUAACAGUGAUUGGAGGGAGAGGCUGGUGGGCUGCCGGAAGCCCAGGGAGUGGGACCCUUAGCAGACGGUUUAAAGAUAGGCCUAGGGAUGCCCAGCUGGCUCAGUCGGUGGACCAUGCACCUCUUGAUCUCAGGGUUGUGUGUUCAAGCCCCACAUUGAGUGUAGAGAUUACUUAAAAGAAAUAAAAUAUUUAAAAAGAAAAUAAAAAUUAAAGGUAGGCCUGAAUGAAAGUGUGGCCAGAGGAGGGAGAAAAGCGGGACAGGUGGCACAAUAGACUUCAGCACGUGAGAAGGGGUGUGGUCCAGCCACAGCCGUGGGAGUGGGGGCUGAGGUCAGCUGAGGCUGCAGAAUGUUCUAGGCCAGAGAGAGAUUGUGGCAGGCAUCCAGUUCCCAGAUCCCAAGGUCCUACACGUUCUCAGAAGGAGUGGGAGCCCGGAAGAUUGUGAGUGGAGACAGAGAUGUUCCAGAGGAGGAGAGGGGGAGCCUCUCACCCCCACAGCACAGAGCAGGGAGGGCUUUGCAGGAGGAAGACAGGUGUUUUGGAGGCUGUGUGGGGAGUUGGUGGGAUGAGGACGCUAUGCCUGUCAGGGCAGGAGUCAGGGCCCGUGAGGGGGCAGCUCUGGGGUCCAACACACCUGCACUCAGUCCUGGUUCUGCUGGUUCACCUGGCUCACCUGGGGCAGUCCCUCAUCCCACGCCUGUGUUUCUUCUUUAUUUUAUUUUAUUUUAUUUUAUUUUAUUUAUUCAUGAGAGACAGAGGCAGAGACACAGGCAGAGGGAGAAGCAGGUGCCCUUCAGGGAGCCCGAUGUGGGACCCGAUCCCAGGACCCCAGGAUCACGCCCUGAGCCAAAGGCAGAUGCUCAACCACUGA
rnacentral:lncRNA from 1 species